ensembl:lncRNA TNPO1-DT TNPO1 divergent transcript
ACUCUAGGGAAAGUUAGCUGCCAUGUUGGCAGCAGCUCUGUGGAAAGGCCCAUGUGGCAAGGAAUUGAGAAAUCUUGCCAACAGCCCAUGAGAAACUGAGGCCUCAAGUCCACAGCCAGAUGUUUCUGGAUGAGAUUAGCAUUCAAAUUCGUGGACUCAUUAAAGUAGAUGGCUCUCUCCAAUAUGGGUGGGCAUCAUCCAAUCUGUUGAAGGCGUGAAGAGAACAAGAGAAGGAGGAAGGAAGAAUUCACCUUUUUUCUUGCUGCCCACCUGCUUGGGCUGGGACAUUGCAUCUCACCUUCUCCAGCCUUUGGAUGAGGAUUUACACCCUGGUUCUCAGGCCUUCAGGCUCUAACUGGAGCUACACUAUCAACUUUCCUGGGCCUCCAGAUUGCAGAUGGUGGAUCACGGUACUUUUUAGCCUCCAUCAUAAUAUGAGAAAAAAGAGGCACAGUGAAGCUAAAUAUAUUGGCUAAAGAUCACAAAGCUAAGUUGAAAUUUUUCAAGAUGAAAAGUUGCUAAAGAAAGAGAAAGGGAAGCGGUUUGCUCCAGUAUUCCUCUUUCCACCUUCCCACUGACUGGGAAGCGGCGGUUAGCAGAGCCACAGUCUUGGAUUAGAGAUAAGAGGGACAUGUUGAGGAAGGUGGAGUCUCCCCCACAGCCCUGGACCAGUACGGAAUCCCUGUAUUCUAGGAUUUGGCAAGCUGUCCACUGAAACAUUAUUUUUCCCAGCCUUCUUUGCAGAGGUGGGGAAACUGAGGCAAAGGGUGUUUAAAUGGUCUGCCCAAAGUCACACAGCUAAGAAGCAGUGAUGGGAUAUGAAGUCAAACAGUCUUAAAAGCAAGCUAUCCUGUUGCAAAAUAGAAAUUAGUUGAUAACGUCUUCCAGGAGACCUACGGCCAUCCUACUGAUAUGAACCAGAUCAUACCUGCCCUGAUGGGAUGCCAGAGAAAGACUGCUGCAAGGGAUCCUCUGGAAACAGAACAGAGGGAAGAAGAUACCUUCCCUGAAGCCCAGAUGUUCCAGAAGCCUGCGCCUCAUUCACAAAGUCACCCCAAAAAUGCCCUAGAGUUUGGAGUUUUGAAGAAGCGGGAAGAAGGCCUGAGUAAGGGCCUGGGAACCAAGUUAGAUCCUACUUCAGCAUCAGCACAUGCCAGCGAUGGUGCACACAGGUGGAGAGCGGCCUGCCCGUCUUUUCCAUGGUGCCCACAGACCCAUUUAGGAUGAAAGAUCAGAAAAUUCUCUCCAUGUCACCGCUUCUGAAACAUGUGAAUAUUAAUAUUUGGUGCCUAAAAGGCCAUGGCAAAUUUUCAUUGGUUUUAUCUUAUUCAUGAUUAUAGAGUUGAAAGAAUACA